GACGAACGCUGGCGGCGUGCUUAACACAUGCAAGUCGAACGAUGACGCCCGAGCUUGCUCGGUCUGAUUAGUGGCGAACGGGUGAGUAACACGUGAGCAACCUGCCCUUCACUCUGGGAUAACCUCGGGAAAUCGGGGCUAAUACCGGAUAUGAGCUCCUGUCGCAUGGCGGGUGUUGGAAAGUUUUUCGGUGAAGGAUGGGCUCGCGGCCUAUCAGUUUGUUGGUGAGGUAGUGGCUCACCAAGGCGAUGACGGGUAGCCGGCCUGAGAGGGCGACCGGCCACACUGGGACUGAGACACGGCCCAGACUCCUACGGGAGGUAGCAGUGGGGAAUAUUGCACAAUGGGCGAAAGCCUGAUGCAGCGACGCCGCGUGAGGGAUGACGGCCUUCGGGUUGUAAACCUCUUUCAGCAGGGAAGAAGCGAAAGUGACGGUACCUGCAGAAGAAGCGCCGGCUAACUACGUG
rnacentral:rRNA from 1 species